rnacentral:rRNA from 1 species
AUAUUAAUAAGCGGAGGAAAAGAAACUAACAAGGAUUCCCCUAGUAACGGCGAGUGAAGCGGGAUGAGCUCAAAUUUAAAAUCUGGCUGGUUCCCAGUCCGAGUUGUAGUUUAAAGAGGCGUUUUCGGUGGCUGCCCGGGUAUAAAUUCCUUGGAAUAGGAUAUCAUUGAGGGUUAUAAUCCCGUCUAUGACUCGGCGCGCGCUACUAUGUGAUACACCUUCGAAGAGUCGAGUUGUUUGGGAAUGCAGCUCAAAAUGGGUGGUAAAUUUCAUCUAAAGCUAAAUAUUGGCGAGAGACCGAUAGCGCACAAGUA